AGCUUCGUAGUAUGAGAGAUUCUU
rnacentral:miRNA from 1 species